rnacentral:lncRNA from 1 species
CAAAACUAUUUGGAAGAAAGCAACAAUUUGCAGUACUGGUUGAACCCUCUUGAGAAAGGUUUCCAGAGUGUAUCAAACUAGAAUCCUUCACAGUUUCUUGAUAGAAUUAUUUUAAAUACUACUCGACAUAGUCAUUAAAUAACUAUCUACUAAGGUAAUCUUUAUGUUUCUGGAGUUCAGUGUAACAGUUAUAAUUUCUACAUGUUUUGCUAAAUACCUUAGGUUGGAAACAAUGGAAGAUCAUGUGUAAUUAAUUCAAGCAGUUGGUUCAUGAGUAUUUAUGUAAUAUUUGAAAUUUAAAUUUAUGUUCUUUUUUCCCAUCAAACUUCAUUACUGUAAAUCAGCAAUGUGACAUGUCUCAUGAUUAUUAUUUCCUUAUUAAGUGGGCCAUGUCUAAAAGUUUGUCCCUUCAUGGUUGAACCCUUUGGAUUGUAUUUCUCCAUUAAAGUUUCUGUCUUUCCAUAAAGAUUAUUCUACAGUUGAGUGGGUAAAGAACAUUCCUCUACAUUAACA